CGAAGGAUUCGAGCGUUAUCCGGAUUUAUUGGGUUUAAAGGGUGCGUAGGUGGACUAAUAAGUCAGUGGUGAAAGCCCGCAGCUUAACUGCGGAACUGCCAUUGAUACUGUUAGUCUUGAGUACAGUUGGGGUGGGCGGAAUGUGUCAUGUAGCGGUGAAAUGCUUAGAUAUGACACAGAACACCGAUUGCGAAGGCAGCUCACUAAGCUGUAACUGACACUGAGGCACGAAAGCGUGGGGAGCAAACAGGAUUAGAUACCCUGGUAGUCCACGCCCUAAACGAUGAUUACUCGAUGUUGGCGAUACACUGUCAGCGUCUAAGCGAAAGCAUUAAGUAUCCACCUGGGGAGUACGACCGCAAGGUUG
rnacentral:rRNA from 1 species